rnacentral:rRNA from 1 species
AACGAACGCUGGCGGCAGGCCUAACACAUGCAAGUCGAACAGAUGUAGCAAUACAUUAGUGGCGCACGGGAGAGUAACACGUGGGGAUCUACCUUUUGGUUCGGAAUAACGUCGGGAAACUGACGCUAAUACCGGAUAAGCCCUAUGGGGGAAAGUUUUUCGCCAAAAGAUGAGCCCGCGCUAGAUUAGCUUGUUGGUGAGGUAAUGGCUCACCAAGGCUACGAUCUAUAGCUGGUCUGAGAGGAUGACCAGCCUCACUGGGACUGAGACACGUCCCAGACUCCUACGGGAGGCAGCAGUGGGGAAUAUUGGACAAUGGGGGAAACCCUGAUCCAGCCAUGCCGCGUGAAUGAUGAAGGCCUUCGGGUUGUAAAGUUCUUUUGGUAGGGACGAUGAUGACGGUACCUACAGAAUAAGCUCCGGCUAACUUCGUGCCAGCCGCCGCAGUAA